rnacentral:rRNA from 1 species
AGCAUGCUAGUUGUACGAGUUUAGACUCGUAGCAGAUAGCUCAGUAACACGUGGCCAAACUACCCUAUGGAUCCGGACAACCUCGGGAAACUGAGGCUAAUCCGGAAUACGACUCUCAGCCUGGAAGUGGCGAGAGUCAGAAACGCUCCGGCGCCAUAGGAUGUGGCUGCGGCCGAUUAGGUAGACGGUGGGGUAACGGCCCACCGUGCCUAUAAUCGGUACGGGUUGUGAGAGCAAGAACCCGGAGACGGUAUCUGAGACAAGAUACCGGGCCCUACGGGGCGCAGCAGGCGCGAAACCUUUACACUGCACGAAAGUGCGAUAAGGGGACUCCAAGUGCGAGGGCAUAUAGUCCUCGCUUUUCACCACCGUAAGGAGGUGGUAGAAUAAGUGCUGGGCAAGACCGGUGCCAGCCGCCGCGGUAAUACCGGCAGCACGAGUGAUGACCGCUCUUAUUGGGCCUAAAGCGUCCGUAGCUGGCCACGCAAGUCUAUCGGGAAAUCCGCGCGCUCAACGCGCGGGCGUCCGGUGGAAACUGUGUGGCUUGGGACCGGAAGAUCCAGAGGGUACGUCUGGGGUAGGAGUGAAAUCCCGUAAUCCUGGACGGACCACCGGUGGCGAAAGCGCUCUGGAAAGACGGAUCCGACGGUGAGGGACGAAAGCUCGGGUCACGAACCGGAUUAGAUACCCGGGUAGUCCGAGCUGUAAACGAUGUCUGCUAGGUGUGCCACAGGCUACGAGCCUGUGGUGUGCCGUAGGGAAGCCGUGAAGCAGACCGCCUGGGAAGUACGUCCGCAAGGAUGAAACUUAA